rnacentral:lncRNA from 1 species
GCCGCAGAUUCGACACAAAACCCGGAAGGACCCCGCCGAAGGUUUUCUCCGGUUCGGGAGAGAGACGGAGUCCCGCUCUGUCACGCAGGCUGCCAGGCUGGCGUACAGUGGCGCAAUCUCAGCUCGCUGCAACCUCCACCUCCUGGGUUCAAGCGAUUUUCUUGCCUCUGCCUCCUGAGUAGCUGGGAUUACUGGCACACACCACCAUGCACAGUUCCUUGUUCAAAAUGCCAAGAACCUGGAUGACUCAUAGUCAAGACCCUCCACCAGUAACAUAUAUUGGCGAGCCAGCCAGGAGACCACUACAGGAAACACUCCAUUUAUUCCACCUGACUUCCCACUUGGCUGCAUCCUCAACCAUUGAAAUGAAUUUGACCCUGAUAAUCUAAGGAGGAAACAUUUGAUAUUCUUUUGCAAUAAUACUUGGCCCCAGUAUUGUUUGGAAUCUGGAGUUUGCUGUUGAAUGGGAAAGCAGGAUGACGUUGCAUGUAUCCAGGCUUUGGUGCUGCUGUCCUAAGAAGGGUCAGGCCUAGUCAGCAUAUGGUGCUCUCCUUUGGUGCUAUUUGGCUCCAGUGUCUUUGGAGUCUGAGGAGGUUUGGCCUUUAAAAAUCAAACUGCCACCGGAACUGCUUUAAAAAUGUUUGGUUCACAGCCUUCACUGGAUUACCUAUUGGAGCAAACAAAGUGUAACCAUGUAAAACCUGUGAGCUUGUAUUGAUAUCUCAUGGCUAGAGUUCCAAGGUAAAAGCUAUUGGAUCUUCGUUUGUGUGUGUGUAUACAUGUCUAGAUGUGUUUAUUUGUAUGUACACUUAUUGUUAUAUGUUGUGUCAACCAAAUCAGCUUAUAAAUAAAAAAGCACUCAUAAAUUAAAUAAAUAAGUCCAAGCAAUU